AAUGAACGUUGGCGGCGUGGAUUAGGCAUGCAAGUCGUGCGGAAAGGCCCGCAAGGGGUACUCGAGCGGCGAGAGGGAUAGUAACACGUAGGUACCCACCUCUGGGACGGGGAUAGCCGGGGGAAACUCCGAUUAAUACCCGAUAACAUCUUCGGAUCAAAGGUGUAAUUCCGCCUGGAGACGGGCCUGCGUCCUAUCAGCUAGUUGGUGAGGUAACGGCUCACCAAGGCUAGGACGGGUAGCGGGUGUGAGAGCACGACCCGCAUCACUGGGACUGAGACACUGCCCAGACACCUACGGGUGGCUGCAGUCGAGAAUCUUCGUCAAUGGGCGAAAGCCUGAACGAGCGACGCCGCGUGCGGGAUGAAGGCCUUCGGGUUGUAAACCGCUGUCAGUGGGAAUGAAAUGCCAGGGGGCUCACCUCCUGGUUUGACAGACCCGCAGAGGAAGGACGGGCUAAGUUCGUGCCAGCAGCCGCAGUAAGAC
rnacentral:rRNA from 1 species